ACGGAGGAAGCAAGCGUUAUCCGGAAUUAUUGGGUUUAAAGGGUGCGCAGGCGGCAAGGCAAGUCAGAGGUGAAAUCCCAGGGCUUAACUCUAGAACUGCAUUUGAAACUGCGUGUCUUGAGUACAGUUGAGGAAAGCGGAAUGCCUAGUGUAGCGGUGAAAUGCUUAGAUAUGACACAGAACACCAGUCGCGAAGGCGGCUUUCUAAAUUGUAACUGACACUCAUGCACGAAAGCGUGGGGAUCAAACAG
rnacentral:rRNA from 1 species